GUUGAUUAAAUUUAAUAUUUUCUAUUUUAUUGUAAAUAUCUUUUUGCUAGGCUUACACGCAAGUACCUUAGACAAAAAUAUAUUAAUAAAAAGUUGUGCUCAUAAAUAAAAUUCUCUAUAUGAUAUUUGCUUACCGAUGAGCUAAAUAAUUUGCUCCCGAAUAUUUUCUCUCCUUGAAUUGGUACUGAAACAAUAAUUUUUCCCCAUAUAACAAUAUAUAAUAUGUAAAUACGCGUCACUCGAUCUCUCAACUUAUUUCGGUAGUAUUAAAUUGAGAAGAGCAUACCCUGACAAACCUAAACAUAAGUCCCUAGACAAGAUUUUUGACCGGGCUAUUGGAUUUCGCACAUCGAAGGGUGGUCUUGGCUUCACUCGUGCGUGCAACUAACAAGUAUCUCUUUUUUAUUUCCAUCCGGUUUUUCUUCUUCUCAUACACGUACGUUAAUAUCCAUUUCUCAGCUGAACGUUGAAGCAUUUACACACGUUAUGUUACAUAUGGGCAUGGGUAUACAUUUUUAUUUAUUUUUAAAUCCGCUGGUGUUCCGUUUACGCAAAAAAUAUAUUUACGUACAAGAUGAAGUAAAGAGCCAUACCAGCGGCAAUCUUGCGUGAUCAACCAUCACCGGACAAUUGACGUCUUUAUCCAGGCAUUCAUUGAGAAGCCUGUUUUCAGCCAGCCAGUUACCAACAAGUAAGACGAAUUAGCGCUCCUGUGAGAUUUACCAUCGACAGCUUUCGCUCAAAAAUAUCUCUAUAGUAAUAAAAUACCAUAAAUGAGCCCCCAGUCCAGAUAAAAGCAAAAUAUCUUGUCACUCGCACUGUCAGAUGGCCCAGACCUCACCGAACCAAUACCACUACUGUGCAAUGUGCUUGAUGCUUUACAGCAUAACCUUCUGCAAACAAGUAGAUGUGAAGAAGUAGAUGAGAAGAGAAGAAAUCACAAGAAUCAGAGCUCUGAGCAAGUGGCAGAUGGCAGGAGACCGAGCUCCUCUCUCUUGAUAUAAACUCAACAUUGGCUCACACUAAUCCAAAGUCAGUCCACAUACACUGGAUCACUUGAUCAUCCUCACACUGUUGCCGCCGUCACGCCCUACAAUAAAAAGAACAACAACAAGGAGAGGAUGCGUCGGCAACCCUUUGGAGAGAUCAUCCUUCCCUUUCUCCCCUUGCCGUAGAGUACUGGGGUCGGCAUUUGUAACGCGGGAUCAAGGCGAGAUAUCAAACACCAAGCCUCAUUCUGUUCGCAGAAUUAAAUCCUGGAUGAGUUUUAUUUAAUAAAUAUAUACACCUUGAGGUGAGAUACACAAACAACUUGGUAUAAAGCUCAAGAAAAAUAAAGUCGACAGUGUAAUCAAGAUAAGUAACUGAGUAUUUUCUUUAUAAACUAAUUUGAUUAUUCACUCACUUGCAAUCUAAUCUACCUUACAAUAAAAAAUUCCACAUAAGUAUGCGGUACUUAAGUAUACUUUUACUUAAAAUAAAACCCUAUGUAUAGACUAUUGAAAAAUUACAUCAGGUGUUAUUGUAAACUACGGUUUGCUAUUAAACAAACUAUUUUCAUGUCUGACCAUGACAUGGCCAAUGUUCAAUAAUAACAUUGAUAUUUAACAAUUCUGUUAAAUUGUAUGUUCUAUAGCAAGCUUUCACAAUCAUGUGUUUAUUAAAUAUUGCACAAAUUCGAUCCAUAUUCAUUACGAUAGUUCGGUUUUAAUUAACAGCGUGUUUUGAUAAAUUUAUGGUAAUUCAUGAAGUUUAUUCCCAAUAUUUGAUAUUGAAACUAUAAAUUGCCGGACUAAUUUGUACUGAAAAUUAUUUGAUGAAUUUAUACUCGUGUUUAGAUUUACAAUUUAUGAAUAAUUACAUAUAGACGAAAGUUACAAUUAACACUAAGUAGGUCAAAAAUUUUAAAAUCGCGUGGAUUGGAUGAUUUUUUUCUGUAUAUUUAAAAUUAUUAUUUAAUAAUUUCAGA
rnacentral:lncRNA from 1 species